UGGAGAGUUUGAUCCUGGCUCAGGACGAACGCUGGCGGCGUGCUUAACACAUGCAAGUCGAACGGAAAGGCCCUUUCGGGGGUACUCGAGUGGCGAACGGGUGAGUAACACGUGGGUGAUCUGCCCUGCACUUUGGGAUAAGCCUGGGAAACUGGGUCUAAUACCGAAUACACCCUGCUGGUCGCAUGGCCUGGUGGGGGAAAGCUUUUGCGGUGUGGGAUGGGCCCGCGGCCUAUCAGCUUGUUGGUGGGGUGAUGGCCUACCAAGGCGACGACGGGUAGCCGGCCUGAGAGGGUGUCCGGCCACACUGGGACUGAGAUACGGCCCAGACUCCUACGGGAGGCAGCAGUGGGGAAUAUUGCACAAUGGGCGCAAGCCUGAUGCAGCGACGCCGCGUGAGGGAUGACGGCCUUCGGGUUGUAAACCUCUUUCAGUACCGACGAAGCGCAAGUGACGGUAGGUACAGAAGAAGCACCGGCCAACUACGUGCCAGCAGCCGCGGUA
rnacentral:rRNA from 1 species